rnacentral:rRNA from 1 species
GACGAACGCUGGCGGCGUGCCUAAUACAUGCAAGUAGAACGCUGAAGGAGGAGCUUGCUUCUCUGGAUGAGUUGCGAACGGGUGAGUAACGCGUAGGUAACCUGCCUGGUAGCGGGGGAUAACUAUUGGAAACGAUAGCUAAUACCGCAUAAUAGCAGUUGUUGCAUGACAACUGUUUGAAAGGUGCAAUUGCACCACUACCAGAUGGACCUGCGUUGUAUUAGCUAGUUGGUGGGGUAACGGCUCACCAAGGCGACGAUACAUAGCCGACCUGAGAGGGUGAUAGGCCACACUGGGACUGAGACACGGCCCAGACUCCUACGGGAGGCAGCAGUAGGGAAUCUUCGGCAAUGGACGGAAGUCUGACCGAGCAACGCCGCGUGAGUGAAGAAGGUUUUCGGAUCGUAAAGCUCUGUUGUAAGAGAAGAACGAGUGUGAGAGUGGAAAGUUCACACUGUGACGGUAUCUUACCAGAAAGGGACGGCUAACUACGUG